AUGAGACUUUAUCCGACUUUGAAUGAAAACCUCUGACACCAAAUGGGCAGGUAUUGACUGCUCUGGCUUCAACCUUUUACAAUGGGUCCCUGCAGUGUCCACAGCAAACAUCCAUUCUCUAACGUGAUGAUCUGCAGAAUGAAGAAUAGGACCCUCCAAGUCCACCUACAGCUGCACUUCAUUGACUCAAGGCCAAUAUGGGAGAGAGAUCAGACCACUUGGGAAACCAACGCCUACCUAGAGAAUGUCAGAGUUCCUUCCCUGUGCCCCAUUGAAUGCCG